GUGCCAGCGGAAUGCCUUCUCAUCCAGGUGGAUCUUCUCAAGAUCACAUGCCUGAGCUGUGCAGGACAAGUAGAAAAACAAAAAGACCAGGAACACAAUCUGAGAUGUGAGACUGAAGGUGCUCCUGAUCUGGCUGGAGGAGAACAAAGAGGAAAAAGGUAGCCUAAUAACUCAGUAUAUCUUAACAGA